rnacentral:lncRNA from 1 species
CUUUCUCACAGGCAGAAGAUCGGCUUUGGAUUGCAGCACGUCAAAAUGAAAAUUAAUCCUUUCCCUUGAAAAAAAGGAAGUGCCAGUAGGACUCAGUCUGCCUCUUUCCUUGUUUGGACGUGACAGUGAUGGACCAGAUUUUACUGGGAGCAUGAACCUGACCUUCAGCUUGUGCCAAAGGUGCAACAGAAGAAUGCCUUUCAGCAACAUGCCUCUGCAUUCCCAUGGAUCAGAUACCAGUACGCUGCCUCUUGCAAUAUCUGCAGUCUGCUGCCAUAUCUGACCUGGAUUCGAUGCCAGCCUCUGAUUUGGACUUACUUCUCUCUCCAGAUGAUCUGCUUGUCUCUAAUUCCACCUGGCAUGGGAAUGGAUGGCAGAGCCAAAGGAGGUCCUUGG